UAUCGGGAUUACUGGGCGUAAGCGCACGCAGGCGGUCUGUCAAGUCGGAUGUGAAAUCCCCGGGCUCAACCUGGGAACUGCAUUCGAAACUGGCAGGCUAGAGUCUUGUAGAGGGGGGUAGAAUUCCAGGUGUAGCGGUGAAAUGCGUAGAGAUCUGGAGGAAUACCGGUGGCGAAGGCGGCCCCCUGGACAAAGACUGACGCUCAGGUGCGAAAGCGUGGGGAGCAAACAGGAUUAGAUACCCUGGUAGUCCACGCCGUAAACGAUGUCGACUUGGAGGUUGUGCCCUUGAGGCGUGGCUUCCGGAGCUAACGCGUUAAGUCGACCGCCUGGGGAGUACGGCCGCAAGGUUAAAACUCAAAUGAAUUGACGGGGGCCCGCACAAGCGGUGGAGCAUGUGGUUUAAUUCGAUGCAACGCGAAGAACCUUACCUACUCUUGACAUCCAGAGAACUUUGCAGAGAUGGAUUGGUGCCUUCGGGAACUCUGAGACAGGUGCUGCAUGGCUGUCGUCAGCUCGUGUUGUGAAAUGUUGGGUUAAGUCCCGCAACGAGCGCAACCCUUAUCCUUUGU
rnacentral:rRNA from 1 species